rnacentral:rRNA from 1 species
GCAUAUCAAUAAGCGGAGGAAAAGAAACCAACAGGGAUUGCCCCAGUAACGGCGAAGUGAAGCGGCAACAGCUCAAAUUUGAAAUCUGGCCUCGGCCCGAGUUGUAAUUUGCAGAGGAUGUUUCUGGCGCGGUGCCUUCUGAGUUCCCUGGAACGGGACGCCAUAGAGGGUGAGAGCCCCGUACGGUUGGACGCCUAGCCUGUGUGAAACUCCUUCGACGAGUCGAGUAGUUUGGGAAUGCUGCUCAAAAUGGGAGGUAUAUCUCUUCUAAAGCUAAAUACCGGCCAGAGACCGAUAGCGCACAAGUAGAGUGAUCGAAAGAUGAAAAGCACCUUGAAAAGGGGGUUAAACAGCACGUGAAAUUGUUGAAAGGGAAGCGCCCAUGACCAGACUUGUGCCCGGCGGAUCACCCAGCGUUCUCGCUGGGGCACUCCGCCGGGUCCAGGCCAGCAUCGGUUUUCGCCGGGGGAUAAAGGCUCUGGGAACGUAGCUCCUCCGGGAGUGUUAUAGCCCUCUGCGUAAUACCCUGGCGGGGACCGAGGUACGCGCUCCGCAAGGAUGCUGGCGUAAUGGUCAUCAGCGACCCGUCUUGAAACACGGAUCAAGGAGUCGUCCAUUAGAGCGAGCGUUUGGGUGUCAAACCCGCACGCGUAAUGAAAGUGAACGUAGGUGAGAGCUUCGGCGCAUCAUCGACCGAUCCUGAUGUCCUCGGAUGGAUUUGAGUAUGAGUUUUACUGGACGGACCCGAAAGAUGGUGAACUAUGCCUGUAUAGGGUGAAGCCAGAGGAAACUCUGGUGGAGGCUCGCAGCGGUUCUGACGUGCAAAUCGAUCGUCAAAUAUGGGCAUGGGGGCGAAAGACUAAUCGAACCAUCUAGUAGCUGGUACCGC